rnacentral:rRNA from 1 species
AUGCUUGUCGAGAAAAACAAGCAUGAACAAUACUAUAUUGUUUACAAGCUUCUUAAGUUGGUAUUAAUUCUGCCAGUAGCUACUGCUAGUGUUGAAAGGGUGUUCUCUUCAAUGAACUAUCUGAAGAAUAAGCUAAGGAGCAAAAUGGGUGACGAUUACUUGAAUAAUUGUUUGGUUACAUUUGUUGAAAGAGGAUUCUUCAAUCAAGUAAAGGAUGAGGAUGUCAUCAAUCUCUUCCAAAAAGACGAUCGCAAAGUUAUAUUGUAA